AUAUACAGGUAGCGACGUAAUCUCGCGAGAUUACACGAGAUUGGACUGUUUUAACGGCUGUCUUCGAGAUCUUGCGUAUCACACGAGAAAAUGCUUCAGAGAAAGAAGAGAGCCCUUCAAAUUAGAAAAGUGAGGAUGAUCUUGUCAAUGCUGAGAUUUUCAUGCAUCAGCAGCCACUACAUCAGAUUGAACAAGAAACAGACAGCAAGGGUUGUCAGAUCAGAAACAGAAUGACACAAAAACACAAGAAACUUCACAGGCAGAUCAACAUGCAAUUUGAAGACGUGUGAUAAAAUACAGAAAGGUGAAGUAGUGUGUCUUUCCAGAUCCCCAAAUCAUUCCCCCUUAAAAGAUGAGCCUGAAGAGGAGAUUGGGGAAGAUGUUGUUUCAUAAGUCGCUUUGCCAGAUCACCUGUGGUCGGGAUGUCUGCUAACAAGAUGCCUUGCUGGUCUGAGCGAGUUUAAAGUCUUACACAGACAGUCCAGAAGUUCUUUAGUCCAUCUUCGAUUUCAUUGGACGCUUUAAGGUGUAGAAACAUCUCAGCAACCUCAAGAGAAAUUGGAGGCAACAAUUGCAGAUGUUGUUGCAAAGGGUCUGAAUAUGUAUAAUAUGCUGUCAUCGUGUUAAGUACAGCAUGAGCCAGAAUAGAUGAGUGGUGGUGGCCAUAAGAAGACUGUCAACUAAAC